rnacentral:tRNA from 1 species
GGGCUCGUAGCUCAGCUGGUAGAGCACCGCCCUUGCAAGGCGGGGGCCUCGGGUUCGAAUCCCGACGAGUCCA